rnacentral:rRNA from 1 species
CUACGGGUUGCAGCAGUGAGGAAUAUUGCACAAUGGGGGGAACCCUGAUGCAGCAACGCCGCGUGGAGGAUGACGCAUUUCGGUGUGUAAACUCCUUUUAUAUGUCAAGAAAAUGACGGUAGCAUAUGAAUAAGCACCGGCUAACUCCGUGCCAGCAGCCGCGGUAAUACGGAGGGUGCAGGCGUUACUCGGAAUCACUGGGCGUAAAGGACGCGUAGGCGGGUUGGAAAGUCAGGUGUGAAAUCCUACAGCUUAACUGUAGAACUGCACUUGAAACUUCUAAUCUAGAGUAUGGGAGGGGGAGAUGGAAUUAGUGGUGUAGGGGUAAAAUCCGUAGAUAUCACUAGGAAUACCUAAAGCGAAGGCGAUCUCCUGGAACAUUACUGACGCUAAGGCGUGAAAGCGUGGGGAGCAAACAGGAUUAGAUACCCCUGUAGUC